rnacentral:rRNA from 1 species
GGGGAGCCGCAGGGAAACCGAGUCUUAACUGGGCGUUAAGUUGCAGGGUAUAGACCCGAAACCCGGUGAUCUAGCCAUGGGCAGGUUGAAGGUUGGGUAACACUAACUGGAGGACCGAACCGACUAAUGUUGAAAAAUUAGCGGAUGACUUGUGGCUGGGGGUGAAAGGCCAAUCAAACCGGGAGAUAGCUGGUUCUCCCCGAAAGCUAUUUAGGUAGCGCCUCGUGAAUUCAUCUUCGGGGGUAGAGCACUGUUUCGGCUAGGGGGUCAUCCCGACUUACCAACCCGAUGCAAACUACGAAUACCGAAGAAUGUUAUCACGGGAGACACACGGCGGGUGCUAACGUCCGUCGUGAAGAGGGAAACAACCCAGACCGCCAGCUAAGGUCCCAAAGUCAUGGUUAAGUGGGAAACGAUGUGGGAAGGCACAGACAGCCAGGAUGUUGGCUUAGAAGCAGCCAUCAUUUAAAGAAAGCGUAAUAGCUCACUGGUCGAGUCGGCCUGCGCGGAAGAUGUAACGGGGCUAAACCAUGCACCGAAGCUGCGGCAGCGACACUAUGUGUUGUUGGGUAGGGGAGCG